UAUAAUUUCGUUUAUUUCAAUUUAAGUUGUCGAAUAUACUGUAACAUCAUUGAACAUAAAUAUUUUUUCGUAAAUUUACUUCGAGUAUCUCCUUCUUAAAAAGAAACGUUGAUUCGGAUGUAGGCCUACUGACACCUGAAUAUCUGCAUGCGCGCCGAAUGUUUACAAAGUCCGUUAGUAUUUUUGGUGUCUCUCGGUGAUACUGUUACACAUUAGAACAACUGAAUAAAAUCUCCUUUCAAUUAACUAUCGAUAUAUCUGGUGUUUUACGUAACACUGAGUCCCAAUAUUAUUGCGCAUUCGGUAGCAAAGAUGUUGACACCACAUGUCGUCUGAUGAUGACUUUUACGGAUCGAAUAAGGUUUGGUCAUUGUGUUCCCUGAAAGGAAUGAGAGGAGAAAAGGAACUGGAAGACCUGGCUAUCUGCAGGCCAAUGCUGGCUGCAGGUCAAUAUUGAAUGCUCUUAUGAAAACUCAUAAGACAAUAACAAAAAAAGAAGCUGAGGAUGCUGUUUUUAAAACAUGCUCCAUUCAAAAAAGGUGGAUUGAAAUUUAAGAAAGGUGUGACGGUUGCGUCUGCUGCAGGCAGGGAGGAUUUGACGGUCAGCCAGAGGAUUUGGAGAUAUACUGUAAUGUCUUUAAUGUGGACUUGCGUGUGAUUUAAGUUUUCACAAGGGUUUUAGUGUGUGUGAAAGUAUGUCAGUUUUCAAAAUUGAGCUAUGUCAAUUUGCUCAAACUACAUAACUCAAAGAACUUUGAAG
rnacentral:lncRNA from 1 species